CUGGAACAAGGAGUAGAGAUACUUUUAACAGCUGGAAUAUCAUUUUUGUGUUCAUUAUUCACGGAAUUAAAGCAUAUUUUUUUAUUUCCACAACCUCUUCUCCCAAGUCUCUAUCUCUGAUUUAAUCUUUGCCAAGUUCCAUACUCCAAAAUCUAUAAUAUCUGUGUCAAACAUGUAUUGUACAAAUCAUUUCUUAAAACACCUAUUACGCAUUCUCUAUCUUGACCUUCACUG